rnacentral:misc_RNA from 1 species
GAAAUGCGAUAAGUAAUGUGAAUUGCAGAAUUCAGUGAAUCAUCGAAUCUAUGAACGCACCUUGCGCUCCUUGGUAUUCCUUGGAGCAUGCCUGUUUGAGUAUCAUGAAAUCUUCAAAGUAAAUCUUUUGUUAACUCAAUUGGUUUCUACUUUGGUAUUGGAGGUCUUUGCAGCUUCACACCUGCUCCUCUUUGUUCAUUAGCUGGAUCUCAGUGUUAUGCUUGGUUCCACUCGGCGUGAUAAGUUAUCUAUCGCUGAGGACACUGUAAAAGGUGGCCAAGGUAAAUGCAGAUGAACCGCUUCUAAUAGUCCAUUGACUUGGACAAUACUUUUAUGAUCUGAUCUCAAAUCAGGUAGGACUACCCGCUGAACUUAAGC